rnacentral:rRNA from 1 species
GACUGAGAUACGGCCCAGACUCCUACGGGAGGCAGCAGUGAGGAAUUUUGCGCAAUGGGAGAGAUCCUGACGCAGCAACGCCGCGUGACCGAUUGAAGCUUUUAGGAGUGUAAAGGUCUGUCGUGAGGGAAGAAAAAGACCGAGAAUACUAAGUUCGGUAAUUGACGGUACCUCACAAGCAAGCUCCGGCUAACUUCGUGCCAGCAGCCGCGGUAAUACGAGGGGAGCAAGCGUUGUCCGAAAUAACUGGGCGUAAAGGGUACGUAGGCUUUUUUGUAUGUUUCCGGUGAAAUUCACAGGCUCAACUUGUGACUUGCCGGAAAAACUGCAGAGAUUGAAUCCGGAAGGGGAAAGCGGAAUUCCUGGUGUAGCGGUGAAAUGCGUAGAUAUCAGGAGGAACACCAGUGGCGAAGGCGGCUUUCUGGUCCGGAAUUGACGCUGAGGUACUAAAGCGUGGGUAGCAAACAGGAUUAGAUACCCUGGUAGUCCACGCCCUAAACGAUGGAUACUUGGAUGUCGGGAUGUUCGGUCGUCUCGGUGUCGUAGCUAACGUGUUAAGUAUCCCGCCUGGGGACUACGGUCGCAAGACUGAAACUCAAAGGAAUUGACGGGGGCCCGCACCAGCGGUGGAACAUGUGGUUUAAUUCGAUGCAACGCGAAGAACCUUACCUGGGCUUGACAUAUAUAUGAAGUAUGUAAGAAAUUAUGUAUUCUGUCUGAUUUUUCAGAUAGCAUAUAUACAGGUGAUGCAUGGCUGUCGUCAGCUCGUGUCGUGAGAUGUAGGGUUAAGUCCCUUAACGAGCGCAACCCUUGCUUUUAGUUGCCAUCAGGUAAUGCUGGGGACUCUAGAAGGACUGCCGAGGUUAACUCGGAGGAAGGUGGGGAUGACGUCAAGUCAGUAUGUCCCUUAUGUCCAGGGCUACACACGUG